rnacentral:rRNA from 1 species
GAUGAACGCUGGCGGCGUGCCUAAUACAUGCAAGUCGAGCGAACGGACGAGAAGCUUGCUUCUCUGAUGUUAGCGGCGGACGGGUGAGUAACACGUGGAUAACCUACCUAUAAGACUGGGAUAACUUCGGGAAACCGUAGCUAAUACCGGAUAAUAUUUUGAACCGCAUGGUUCAAAAGUGAAAGACGGUCUUGCUGUCACUUAUAGAUGGAUCCGCGCUGCAUUAGCUAGUUGGUAAGGUAACGGCUUACCAAGGCAACGAUGCGUAGCCGACCUGAGAGAGUGAUCGGCCACACUGGAACUGAGACACGGUCCAGACUCCUACGGGAGGCAGCAGUAGGGAAUCGUCCGCAAUGGGCGAAAGCCUGACGGAGCAACGCCGCGUGAGUGAUGAAGGUCUUCGGAUCGUAAAACUCUGUUAUUAGGGAAGAACAUAUGUGUAAGUAACUGUGCACAUCUUGACGGUACCUAAUCAGAAAGCCACGGCUAACUACGUG